rnacentral:rRNA from 1 species
AGGGUGAUCGGCCACACUGGGACUGAGACACGGCCCAGACUCCUACGGGAGGCAGCAGUAGGGAAUCUUCGGCAAUGGACGAAAGUCUGACCGAGCAACGCCGCGUGAGUGAAGAAGGUUUUCGGAUCGUAAAACUCUGUUGUUAGAGAAGAACAAGGACGUUAGUAACUGAACGUCCCCUGACGGUAUCUAACCAGAAAGCCACGGCUAACUACGUGCCAGCAGCCGCGGUAAUACGUAGGUGGCAAGCGUUGUCCGGAUUUAUUGGGCGUAAAGCGAGCGCAGGCGGUUUCUUAAGUCUGAUGUGAAAGCCCCCGGCUCAACCGGGGAGGGUCAUUGGAAACUGGGAGACUUGAGUGCAGAAGAGGAGAGUGGAUUCCAUGUGUAGCGGUGAAUGCGUAGAUAUAUGGAGGAACACCAGUGGCGA